UUAUAAAUCAACUGAAUUGAAUUAAGAAAUUUGACCAUCGGAUUGGAUUGAAGAGAAAUGAUGAGCAAUGUUUUAUGGGUUUGGGUUUUAUAAAGCAAAGAUUGGUAUUUUUGUAACAUCAAAAGUUCAUUUUUGAGGCAAACAGAAAAUCCAGCUUAUUAUAGUUUACUGGGACUAACAACCCCCGGACAAAUUUGGAAAAAAAAUUCAGCUAAUGUGGGUGGUGCUUUAAGGAACAAUGAGACACAGCCUAGUGUGGGGAUAGAUGGUGAGGGGAUAAGCAAGGCUGUAGUAAGCGCAGUUACCAACUUGGUACUUUGUGGUUAUAGUUUUCUCUAAAUUGCGCUUGAAGAAAGUAUGAACAUGGGCAAAACUGAGAAACUCUAUCAAUCAACCAACUGGAUAUUAAAGUAUGUCACCGGAGAUUUGUUCUCCUGUCCACACGAUGAAUCCUUGGCCCACUGCAUCAGUGAAGACUGUCGCAUGGGAGCAGGCAUAGCGGUGAUGUUCAAGAAGAAGUUUGGUCGAGUCUCAGAGUUAAAGGAGCAGAGUGAGUCAGACUAGUUACUAAAAUCUUUGUUUUGGAAAAAAUGUUUUAUGUUUUUGCAGUUCAUUCAAAUGUAUGAUUUCAACAGCAAGUGCUAAAUCAUAUCCUGUUUUGUAUUUUUUUUUUGUAUGUCCUAAUAGAGAAGCUUCCGGGGCAGUGUGCUGUCCUGACAUAUGAUCAACGUUUCAUCUACUAUCUGAUCACAAAGAAAAAAGCCAGCCAGAAACCCACGUAUGUCAACCUAAGACAGAGUCUGGAAGACAUGAAAUCUCACUGCUUAGAAAAUGGUGUCAAUAGGAUAUCAAUACCUCGAAUUGGCUGUGGCCUGGACCAGCUGCUGUGGUCAAAGGUGUCAAAGAUCCUGGAACAGAUCUUUAAAGAGACAAAUAUCUCCAUCACAGUGUACAGCCUGCCCUGUGUUGGGUCAAAGCUUCAAAUGCAUGCCGUGUAGUACAUUUUCAUUGGGGGUUUUUUAGCUUUAAAUCCUUUAUAAUCUCUUAAAAUUUUCGAUGAAAUCAACACUCUUUAAACAGUUUUAAGGAAACAAUAAAUAAGGAAACAAUAAAAACCUACCCGUAAGAUGUUUAGAUACAAGACUUUUAACAUCCCACUGAUGUAAAAAUGAUGUGUCUUGCCAUUAAAGAUACGAAACUUAUUCCAAACACUGAUGUUGCACUCUGUGAAUAUCAUAUUACAUGAUGCUACUACUAAAUCAUGCUACAUAAAGUGAUCCAACAAAUCACCUGAGGCAGGUAAAAUACAAUAGUUAUGCCUAAAAUUUGUUUUUUUGUUUUUCUAAAUCUA